rnacentral:rRNA from 1 species
AACGAACGCUGGCGGCAUGCCUAACACAUGCCAGUCGAACGAGACCUUCGGGUCUAUUGGCGCACGGGUGCGUAACGCGUGGGAACCUGCCCUUAGGUUCGGAAUAACUCCCCGAAAGGGGUGCUAAUACCGGAUAAUGUCUUCGGACCAAAGAGUUAUCGCCUUUGGAUGGGCCCGCGUUGGAUUUGCUCGUUGGUAGGGUAAAAGCCUACCAAGGCGUCGAUCCAUAGCUGGUCUGAGAGGAUGAUCAGCCACACUGGGACUGAGACACGGCCCAGACUCCUACGGGAGGCAGGAGUGGGGAAUAUUGGACAAUGGGCGAAAGCCUGAUCCAGCAAUGCCGCGUGAGUGAUGAAGGCCUUAGGGUUGUAAAGCUCUUUUACCCGGGAUGAUAAUGACGGUACCGGGAGAAUAAGCUCCGGCUAACUACGUG